rnacentral:rRNA from 1 species
AUUGAACGCUGGCGGCAGGCCUAACACAUGCAAGUCGAGCGGAUGAAGGGAGCUUGCUCCUGGAUUCAGCGGCGGACGGGUGAGUAAUGCCUAGGAAUCUGCCUGGUAGUGGGGGAUAACGUCCGUAAACGGGCGCUAAUACCGCAUACGUCCUGAGGGAGAAAGUGGGGGAUCUUCGGACCUCACGCUAUCAGAUGAGCCUAGGUCGGAUUAGCUAGUUGGUGGGGUAAGGGCCUACCAAGGCGACGAUCCGUAACUGGUCUGAGAGGAUGAUCAGUCACACUGGAACUGAGACACGGUCCAGACUCCUACGGGAGGCAGCAGUGGGGAAUAUUGGACAAUGGGCGAAAGCCUGAUCCAGCCAUGCCGCGUGUGUGAAGAAGGUCUUCGGAUUGUAAAGCACUUUAAGUUGGGAGGAAGAGCAGUAAGUUAAUACCUUGCUGUUUUGACGUUACCAACAGAAUAAGCACCGGCUAACUUCGUG